rnacentral:lncRNA from 1 species
UUCUAGUAAGAAAAGCAAAAGUAAGGAUUUAAGAAGACACUUAGUGACAUAGCCUGAACAAAAAUAUUCCCCCUUUCCCAAAACGGGGGAAAAAAAAAAAACCCCAGAAAAGAAAAGAAAAAAAAAAGUCGUAAAUAUUGAUUAUAAAUCAAUUAUAACUCAAUUAUAAAUCAUAUAAUAUAUAUAUAUAUAUAUAUAUAUAUAUAUAUGUGAAGAUAAUUUUUAAAAAAACCCAAAAAGGAAUGAAAGAAGAUAGGAGAAGGAUAAUGGACAAGUAAUAAGCAAAGCUAAUAAGAGCGUCGAUGAUGACGACGACGACAACAACAAGAACAACAACAACAAUCAUCAUAAAAAAGAGAGCAAGAAGAGAAAGAUCGGGGAAAGCUUAAGUUGGUCUUUCUUUUUUUUUCUAUCGCGAUACUUCCUCCUGUCUCUUGUUAUGGUGUAUUUUAUAGGCUAUGGCGGCAAGCUGUAUCUAUGAGGU